rnacentral:lncRNA from 1 species
UGUAAACCUGACGUGUGGGCCUUUCCUCCAUAUUUCGUGAUAACCCCCUACAGAAAUAGACAAACACCAAAACUCGUGGAAUUCUGUCAGAUAAAACCCUAAGUCUGAGUGUUGGUUGCAUUUGGAUCCUUUUCAUUGUUUAUUUGGUAAUUAAAUUUGAUACUUAAGGACCGUCAACAACUCCCCUAAGCUUCCCUCUUGCUCGUCUAUGAGCAAGGAUGGACUCAAGAGUUUCUGCAGUGCUUUCAUGCCUUAAAGGUACAUAUGCGUUCAAACAAGAUCUCAUCUUUGGGUUAGGGUAAACUGUUAAGAUUUAAACUUACUCAUAUUACCUUCCACCAUGGUGCUUGUAACCGUCACUUGUGUCUUGAGCAGUUAAAAGAUAGAACGGUCUAGUCAAGCGCCAUGUCUCUUAUUCUUGAUCAGCUAUAGCUCUGGAGUUUUUGCAGAUUUUCAAAUAAAACUCAGAGAUUCCUUUGUAUGACUCUCUCAAAUCUCUCUUUUGUGGUAUUUCUGGAUCCUUACCAAGGCAGUGAUGGUAUAUGCCUUCUCUCAAAGUAUGUGGUAUUUUUGGUAUGAGGCAUAGUGACAUUGCCUUCUCUCUCACCCUACUCUAAUAAGGUUUUGAUAUGUGGAGCUCAUAGGUGGGAGACAGCUAAAACAUACUUACAAGACAUUUAUUGCAUAGUCAAACCAUGGAUCCAGAAGAACAAGUCAAUAAGUCAAAUCAAGAUGUGCAUGUGUGGCGAAUGAAUGGUGAUAAUGGUGAAAAUAAUGGUGAAAGUCUAAUUCUACUUUUGCUAUUUUGAAGGGGUACAUACCUUCCUUGCACUUGAGGCUUUUGAGGGGAAUGAGAUGCUCUAUAUUUUAUUUUUCUUUUCUCUGAGGUGGGUAUCUUGUGCCCCUAAUUCUACUGUCGGACACUUGUCCAUUUUUACCUCUCGUCUCACUUUUUCUUUUUUCAGGUUUCGGGCACUUGCCCCUUUUUAUUUCCUCGUAUUCAUAUUUUUUUUCAGAGCACUCAUCCUCCUAGAAUAAUAUAGCAAGUGGUAGUAACCAAGAUAACUCGAGCAUUUAUUUCACAGGGGAUAACUUGGAUAGGAUAAUGUUUUUGGCUAUUCUCUCCUGGAUAGGAGUAGAAUAAUUUUGGGUGAAUCUAGAGAUGGAAAUGAGUGGAUGUAUGUGGAUGCGUACUUUCGGAGUAGAAGUAGCAUGUAUGAGUGAACGUGCAAGUGAAUCUUGAUUUUAACCGCAUGACAAGCUCCUAAGGGUCUACACAGCUUGACCACACUCAAUGCUCACAAGCAGUAAAAAGUAAAUGUAUGGUUCAUAGUCUAAUAAGCAUGUAUAUAUGGCUGUGGUAGGAUUUUAAACUCUCAUCAUACAAGAACUCAUCAUGCAACAUUUUAAAGAUUUUCAAAGAUAAAACUCUCUAGAAUUAUAGCAUCUCUAAGAACAGAUAAACAGCAGCUCAACCUUCCCAUAUCGUAUCCGUUAGUGACUUAGACUUUAGAUCAAGUACUCUUCCCACAAGUUUAGGUUUAGAGCAAAUCUUAAUUCGUAACUGUUGACACCAAUUUUUGGACACGUGCACGAGGAACCAGUAGGGUAUAGAUCGGCAGGAGGAGCAACGGUAACUAGACUGUAGAAGAGUUGCCGAUGAGGAAGGUUGCCGAUGAAGGGACGAUUGAGUAUGGCUAAGUCCAGGAGUGGUGGCGCGUUCCUAACCGAUGACCAGUAUCAACGUUUGCCGAUGGCGAUAGCAGGAAAAUUGCCGAUGGCUCCGCGGGAGUUGCCGAUUGACCCGUGGCGGUGUCCUGGUCGGUUACAAGGGGAUAGUUUUGAGUUUUCCUUUGUUAUUUAAAUUCGUUUUGUGUACGAAAUCUGUUUAAAUUGGAAUUCGAGUCCUAGUCGUGUCUGAUUGUAGCUCUUUGAGCAGGGUAUAAAUGUAGACCCUAGGACCUUGUAAUAAAACAUCUAUCAAUCAAUCAAACACAAGUUUUUACUCAUAUUCUAGCACCUACUUUUCGACGACUUCAUCAUAUUUUCCUUUUAUUACG